GUGGGAUAUAUACAGUAUAUUAAAUAUUUCUUAAGUGUAUGCAUGUAUUUUUUUUCAGAUUGCACUUCCACUUUUGGGAGACAUGGGUGCUUCUUUGAAGGGUGAUACUGGGCCGAGAGGUCCCCCAGGAAUCCCUGGUAGGGAGGGGCCAAAGGGAAGCAAAGGUGAACGUGGAGUUCCUGGGCUCUCUGGAGAGAAAGGUGACGAGGGUCUUCAAGGUGUUCCAGGACUCCCUGGUCUAACAGGAGCUAGUGGACCUUCUG
rnacentral:lncRNA from 1 species